GACGAGGGGUCCAAGCGUUGUUCGGAAUUACUGGGCGUAAAGGGCGCGUAGGCGGCAUGGCAAGUCAGGAGUGAAAGGCCUGGGCUCAACCGAGGAACUGCUUUUGAUACUGCCAAGCUAGAGUGCGGAAGGGGCAACUGGAAUUCCCAGUGUAGCGGUGAAAUGCGUAGAUAUCAGGAGGAACACCUGCGGUGUAGACGGCUUACUGGACCAUAACUGACGCUGAGGCACGAAAGCGUGGGUAGCAAACAGG
rnacentral:rRNA from 1 species